UGCAUACUCCCUCCAAUUCCACGAUACAUGUCUUCCAUUUGUUAAAAUAUAAAUGUAUCUAGACAUAUUUUACUAUAUAGACACAUUCAUUUUUGAACAAAUGGAAGUCAAGUAUUUUGAAAUGGAGAAAGUAUAUU
rnacentral:pre_miRNA from 1 species